rnacentral:rRNA from 1 species
CCUACGGGAGACAGCAGUGGGGAAUAUUGCACAAUGGGGGGAACCCUGAUGCAGCGACGCCGCGUGGGUGAAGGAGUAUUUCGGUAUGUAAAGCCCUAUCAGCAGGGAAGAACAAUGACGGUACCUGACUAAGAAGCACCGGCUAAAUACGUGCCAGCAGCCGCGGUAAUACGUAUGGUGCAAGCGUUAUCCGGAUUUACUGGGUGUAAAGGGAGCGCAGGCGGCGCGUUAAGCCUGGUGUGAAAGUCCGCGGCCCAACCGCGGGACUGCAUUGGGAACUGGCGCGCUGGAGUGCCGGAGGGGUAGGCGGAAUUCCUAGGGUAGCGGUGAAAUGCGUAGAUAUUAGGAGGAACACCAGUGGCGAAGGCGGCCUACUGGACGGUGACUGACGCUGAGGCUCGAAAGCGUGGGGAGCAAACAGGAUUAGAUACCCGGGUAGUC